rnacentral:rRNA from 1 species
GUAGGUGGCAAGCGUUGUCCGGAAUUAUUGGGCGUAAAGCGCGCGCAGGCGGGUUCUUUAAGUCUGAUGUGAAAGCCCACGGGCUCAACCGUGGAGGGUCAUUGGAAACUGGAGGACUUGAGUACAGAAGAGGAAAGCGGAAUUCCACGUGUAGCGGUGAAAUGCGUAGAGAUGUGGAGGAACACCAGUGGCGAAGGCGGCUUUCUGGUCUGUAACUGACGCUGAGGCGCGAAAGCGUGGGGAGCAAACAGGAUUAGAUACCCUGGUAGUCCACGCCGUAAACGAUGAGUGCUAAGUGUUAGGGGGUUUCCGCCCCUUAGUGCUGCAGCUAACGCAUUAAGCACUCCGCCUGGGGAGUACGGCCGCAAGGCCG